GCCCAGACUCCUACGGGAGGCAGCAGUGAGGAAUAUUGGUCAAUGGUCGGGAGACUGAACCAGCCAAGCCGCGUGAGGGAUGAAGGUACAGAGUAUCGUAAACCUCUUUUGUCAGGGAACAAAGGCGGGGACGUGUCCCCGGAUGAGUGUACCUGAAGAAAAAGCAUCGGCUAACUCCGUGCCAGCAGCCGCGGUAAUACGGAGGAUGCGAGCGUUAUCCGGAUUUAUUGGGUUUAAAGGGUGCGCAGGCGGAGGUGCAAGUCAGCGGUCAAAUUGCGGGGCUCAACCCCGUACUGCCGUUGAAACUGCAUCCCUUGAGUGCGCGAGAAGUAUGCGGAAUGCGUGGUGUAGCGGUGAAAUGCAUAGAUAUCACGCAGAACUCCGAUUGCGAAGGCAGCUUACCAAGCUACUUCUGACGUUGAGGCACGAAAGCGUGGGGAGCAAACAGGAUUAGAUACCCGCGUAC
rnacentral:rRNA from 1 species